AAAAAAAAUAAAAAUUCUUCACAUUGGUGGUACAUGAAUAAAGGGAGAGAAAGUGGUAGAUUAAUAAAACUGUAGGGCUUUUUUUUCCAAUUCGUUUAUGGGCAUUGUUAUGCAGAAAUUCGUUGAGAAUAAAAUUGUUUAUAAGGGUCAACGAGUCAUUUUAUUACAAGAUAUACAGGGGACUACACAAUUACCAGAAAGACUUAAAUAGAACUGUUGAUUAAAUUUUAUUUGGGUUAAUUUAUUAAAAAAUUAUUACAUAUCAAAAAACUGGUGGUAGGACCUUUGGGGGUCCGCACGGGUAGGUACCACCACCCCGCCUAUUUCCGCCGUGAAGCAGUAAUGCGUUUCGGUUCGAAGGGUGGGGUAGCCGUUGUAACUAUACUGAGACCUUAGAACUUAUAUCUCUAGGUGGGUGGCGCAUUUACGUUGUAGAUGUCUAUAGGCUCCAGUAACCACUUAACACCAGGUGGGCUGUGAGCUCGUCCAUCCACCUAAGCAAUAAAAAAUGAAAAUUAUAUUUAUUAAACAUCAGUACCAUUUGUGAGUUUGGCAUCAUAGAUAAUACACAUAAAUUAGUUAUCAGCAACUCAAGCACUCAACAUAAAUGUUUACGGGCGUCGGCCACUAGAUGGCUUCGCUUCGAUUAGUUUCUCAUUGCUCCUGUAGAUGGCAGUAACAUAUUACCUAUAUUUUAUUUUUAAUGAAGGAUUUUGUAAAUUUUUAGAAACCACAAAUUGAUAAAAUUUAAUCAAUUUGUCUCUUGAAACUAAUCGAAGCGAAGCCAUCUAGCGGCCGACGCCCGCAAAACUUUUUGUUGGGUGCUUAAGCUCUAACUAAUUUGUGUGUAUUAUGGUUAUUUCACAUGAGUAAAUAGGAGUACAGAGACAAAGUUUCGAACAGCCGCGCCACGGUACGUCACUACAAGCAUGAUGCGCGUGUGUGCGUGAGCACUGGCGGUUCGUCACGUACGGAACGAAACCUGUUUAUACUGGUUCGGCCAGUGCCAAAACAAAGGGCUCGCUCACCGCUAGCUGUGCGUCGCGUCGCGCGUGCUUAAAUUUCGAAUUUGAAUUUAUUAGAAAAAGUGUAAAUAUGGUCUAUUGUACUGUUUGCAUAAACAACUAUCGAAAAAAUAAAAACCUAUCUUUUUUAAUUAUCCCAAAAACUUCACUAGACGACAAAACGGUUACAAGCUGUCGGGCGAGAAGAUCUCCUUUCCAAAUUUGUAAAUGAUAAAAUAAGUCAACAAAACAGAAUCCGUGAAGAUCACUUUAAAAAAUCCUGUAUUAAGUUUUCUAAAAAUGAACUGUAAAAUAUUUAUUCAGCAAUGCUUUUCCUACACUCAACUUGCCGACAAAUUACGGAGCCUAUUCGAGUUUGAGCCAGUGUGAGAAUGUAUUUCUACUACAUCUAAUGUGAUAUUUUCAAGCCAAUAGUUAUCUUGGGAAAUAUGAGAAAGACUUUUUUCAGCCAUUACAAUGACUUUAAUGAAAGCAGUAUAGUAUAGAAUGUUUUUUUAAAAAUACCUCCUGACAAUUUCAUCGCAUUUUUUGAAUUGCUUGAGAAAAAAAUUCGAGAAUAUUUUGAUCUACAAAAUAAAUAUUUUAAUAUGUAUUGGUAAAACAUACACAAGAUUGUAAAUUGGAUAUGCCAUGCAAGUGCUUUCCCAUUGAUUAUAUUUAAAAAACUUUAUAUUAGAUUUAGAAUUUAUCUUUCGAUUAAGAGGUAUAACAAAUUUAUUAAAAAAACAAAAAUUACAAAAAAAAAAACUAUUUAGAUUAAGCAAUUUGUUAAAAAAAAAUAUACAUAAAAAAGCUGAAAAA